rnacentral:rRNA from 1 species
UACAGAGGGUGCGAGCGUUGUCCGGAAUCACUGGGCGUAAAGGGCGCGUAGGUGGUGGCUUAAGCGUGCGGUGAAAGCUCGGGGCUCAACUCCGAGUCGGCCGUGCGAACUGGGCUCACUGGAGCAUAGUAGAGGCAGGUGGAAUUCCGGGUGUAGCGGUGGAAUGCGUAGAGACUCGGAAGAACACCGGUGGCGAAGGCGGCCUGCUGGGCUAUGGCUGACACUGAGGCGCGACAGCGUGGGGAGCGAACAGG